GGAUACUCUGCCAGACCUCUACUUGAAAUCUGCAAGAUUGUCGUAUGUUGCAUCAGUUUCUGGAGAAGAUGCAAAACAAAGAUCAUCAAAGAGUGUUGGUGGCUAUACUAAAAUAACUGGAAAAUAUGAAGAAAUUAAAGGAUUACGUCAUGACGUUACAGUGCAAAGUGGAUACGAAAGAAAUCAAAGCAAAAAUUAUAAAGGUGGUUGAGUUUUACUUCUUCUAUCAGCCAUUGGAUGACUGGCCCAAUGCACGAGUGAUUUUGGCAGGCCUAGUGAAGGAAAAAGCAUUAUUUGUACAUCCGUACAGAUUUCGAAUGUUUCCACAGUUUCGUAUUCUAUUGGAUAAAAAGAAGCGUGAAGCUUGGGAUGCUAAGACAGGCAGUGCAAAUGUAGCCCAUUUUACAAUUACCAUACCAAUGGAUCUGUGUGAUACUCUUACCGGGACAUUCCAAUGUCAGGCUAAGAUAUUGGCAACUGGUUUCUCGAAGCACAAUAAUGCAUCAUUGGUAACUGGAUGGUACAAACUAGAUCACUCCCAUUUAUCUAAAAAGAGUAAAAACUGUGGGGGAAAAGAAGGAC